rnacentral:guide_RNA from 1 species
AUAUAUAAAACAUGGAAGCUAAGUGUGUAUGAUGAUUAUGAUAUAUGA